GCAGCCAAUGAGAGACGGCGCACGGCCCUUAGCUUCCUUCGUGGGCCAAGAGCUGACCUACCGCCCACCCAUAGCUCCGCCCCCUGCCCUCGCGCCCGACCCCGGGACCCACAGGUCUGUAAUAGGUAGAGGAAGAGGACCAUACGGACCUGCAAGAUUCCUGUGCUACUAAGUUCGAAUCCUAGCCCCGCCGGUGGACCACUGAGAUCUGAGGCUUGGAUCCGCAGGUGGCCACGGUGAACUCAUCCUGGAAGCUGUUGAACAAAACAUUCCAGCCUUGUACUUGGUGGCUGUAUGAGUUGACUUCUCCUUGUUGGACAAAAUAUCUGACACCCACAACUUAA